rnacentral:rRNA from 1 species
CACGUAGGGGGCGAGCGUUGUCCGGAAUCAUUGGGCGUAAAGAGCGCGCAGGCGGUCGUUCAAGUCGAGUGUGAAAGCCCCCGGCUCAACUGGGGAGGGUCACUCGAUACUGAUCGACUUGAAGGCAGGAGAGGGAAGCGGAAUUCCCGGUGUAGUGGUGAAAUGCGUAGAUAUCGGGAGGAACACCAGUGGCGAAGGCGGCUUCCUGGCCUGUUCUUGACGCUGAGGCGCGAAAGCUAGGGGAGCAAACGGG